CAAUAGCGUAUAUUUAAGUUGCUGCAGUUAAAAAGCUCGUAGUUGGAUUUCGGGUGGGAAUGGCCGGUCCGCCGUUUCGGUGUGCACUUGCUACGCCCACCUUGCUGCCGGGGACGUGCUCUUGAGUUCACGCUCGGGACACGGAGUCGGCGAGGUUACUUUGAGUAAAUUAGAGUGUUCAGAGCAGGCCUACGCUCUGAAUACAUUAGCAUGGAAUAACACGAUAGGACUCUGGCCUAUCUUGUUGGUCUGUAGGACCGGAGUAAUGAUUAAGAGGGACAGUCGGGGGCACUCGUAUUUCAUUGUCAGAGGUGAAAUUCUUGGAUUUAUGAAAGACGAACUACUGCGAAAGCAUUUGCCAAGGAUGUUUUCAUUAA
rnacentral:rRNA from 1 species